rnacentral:rRNA from 1 species
AUCGGUACGGGUGAUGAGAGUCAGAGCCCGGAGACGGAAUCUGAGACAAGAUUCCGGGCCCUACGGGGCGCAGCAGGCGCGAAACCUUUACACUGCACGGAAGUGCGAUAGGGGAAUCCCAAGUGCGAGGGCAUAUUAGCCCUCGCUUUUGUUGACUGUAAGGUGGUCAACGAAUAAGAGCUGGGCAAGACCGGUGCCAGCCGCCGCGGUAAUACCGGCAGCUCAAGUGAUGUCCCAUAUUAUUGGGCCUAAAGCGUCCGUAGCUGGCCAACCAAGUCUAUCGGGAAAUCCACCUGCCCAACGGGUGGGCGUCCGGUAGAAACUGGCUGGCUUGGAACCGGAAGGCUCAGAGAGUACGUCCGGGGUAGGAGUGAAAUCCUGUAAUCCCGGACGGACUACCGAUGGCGAAAGCACUCUGAGAAGACGGCUUCGACAGUGAGGGACGAAAGCUCGGGUCUCAAACCGGAUUAGAUACCCGGGUAGUCCGAGCCGUAAACGAUGCUCGUUAGGUGUGGCACCCACUACGAGUGGGUGCUGUGCCGUAGGGAAGCCGCUAAACGAGCCGCCUGGGAAGUACGUCCGCAAGGAUGAAACUUAAAGGAAUUGGCGGGGGAGCACUACAACCGGAGGAGCCUGCGGUUUAAUUGGACUCAACGCCGGACAUCUCACCAGCACCGACAGUAGCAGUGACGGUCAGUUUGAUGAGCUUACCUGAGCUACUGAGAGGAGGUGCAUGGCCGCCGUCAGCUCGUACCGUGAGGCGUCCUGUUAAGUCAGGCAACGAGCGAGACCCGCACUCCUAGUUGCCAGCAGCAUCUUGCGAUGGCUGGGUACACUAGGAGGACUGCCGCUGCCAAAGCGGAGGAAGGAACGGGCAACGGUAGGUCAGUAUGCCCCGAAUGUGCUGGGCGACACGCGGGCUACAAUGGCCGGGACAGUGGGACGCCAGUCCGAGAGGACGCGCUAAUCCCCGAAACCCGGUCGUAGUUCGGAUUGAGGGCUGAAACUCGCCCUCAUGAAGCUGGAUUCGGUAGUAAUCGCGUGUCAGAAGCGCGCGGUGAAUCCGUCCCUGCCCCUUGCACACAA